UUAGGUGGUAAAGCUGGCUGUCUCGCCACUCACCUCCUGCUAUGCAGCCUGGUUCCUAGCAGGCUACUUACAAGUCCACACCCCUAUUAUAAAGUAUAAUUGAGCAGCAACAUCAUGGAAUCAUGGAACAAUACUUGACUUUCUAGGGGGAAGUGUGAAGGAGUGAAGAGGACAGGGUCUUGCUGGAGUGCAGUCCCAGGCUGAAGAGAACCUCUCACCUCAGCUCCCAGAAUUGCUAGGACUACAGCCAUUUCCAGCUUCUGGUAAUCAUUCUAUUCUCUACUUCAAUGAGAUCAACUUCUGUGGCUCCCACAUAUGCCUGAGAACAGAUGCUGGUUACGUGAGUGUGCUCACUUUGAUUUGUGUGUGUUCCUGUACGUUAUACUUCAAUACAUUUUAUUGACAACUCCGGUUGGUGACACAGAUAUAAUUAUGCAUAAAAUAAAACAAAUAAAAUACGUACCCCACAACAAACACUACCAGUGUCCACGUGCCUAGGCUGCGCCUUGGGACUAG
rnacentral:lncRNA from 10 species